rnacentral:rRNA from 1 species
CUACGGGUGGCUGCAGUUAAGAAUAAUCUGCAAUGCGCGCAAGCGUGACAGUUUGAACCAAAGUGUUUUCCUUUUGGAAAACUUUUGUGGAAUGUAAAUAGUUUCACGAAUAAGGACUGGGUAAGACGAGUGCCAGCCGCCGCGGUAAUACUCGCGGUCCAAGUCGCAGCCAUUUUUAUUGGGUCUAAAACAUCCGUAGCUUGCUUAAUAAGUUCCUUGUGAAAUUUUAUGUCUCAAGCAUGAAACGCGCAGGGAGUACUGUUGAGCUAGAGACUGGGAGACGUAAGAAGUAUGUUCAAAGUAGCGGUAAAAUGUUUUAAUCUUGAGCAGACUACCAAUAGCGAAGGCAUCUUACGAGAACAGUUCUGACAGUAAGGGAUGAAGGCUAGGGGCGCAAAACGGAUUAGAUACCCUCGUAGUC